UACGAAGGGGGCUAGCGUUGUUCGGAAUUACUGGGCGUAAAGGGCGCGUAGGCGGCGUGUCAAGUCAGGCGUGAAAGCCCCGGGCUCAACCUGGGAACCGCGCUUGAGACUGGCAUGCUCGAGUUCGGGAGAGGAUGGUGGAAUUCCCAGUGUAGAGGUGAAAUUCGUAGAUAUUGGGAAGAACACCGGAUGGCGAAGGCAGCCAUCUGGACCGACACUGACGCUGAGGCGCGAAAGCGUGGGAGCAACAGG
rnacentral:rRNA from 1 species